GCCUUCGUGGUGUAAAGAUAGCACACUUGACUUGCAUUCGAGAGGUCUGAGGUUCGAAUCCCGGAGAGCGCA
rnacentral:tRNA from 1 species